rfam:Thermotalea metallivorans strain B2-1 AN619_contig000066, whole genome shotgun sequence.
AAUGCCUUUAAAUUGGUCCUGUGAGGCCGGUAAGGAUGGAAUAUGGAGUGAAAAGGAUACGAUGAAUCCGUAUCUGUCUUUUGUCAUAGGUAUAUUGCAACCUUCUGUCUCCGGCAGAAGGUUUUUUUAU